UAAGGUAGCCAAAUGCCUCGUC
rnacentral:ncRNA from 2 species